CCUACGGGUGGCUGCAGUGGGGAAUUUUCCGCAAUGGGCGAAAGCCUGACGGAGCAACGCCGCGUGAGGGAGGAAGGCUCUUGGGUUGUAAACCUCUUUUGUUAGGGAAGAAAAAAAUGACGGUACCUAACGAAUCAGCAUCGGCUAACUCCGUGCCAGCAGCCGCGGUAAUACGGAGGAUGCAAGCGUUAUCCGGAAUUAUUGGGCGUAAAGCGUCCGCAGGUGGUGAUUCAAGUCGGCUGUUAAAGGUUGAAGCUUAACUUCAAAAAGGCAGU
rnacentral:rRNA from 1 species